rnacentral:rRNA from 1 species
UAAAGUGGCGUACGGGUGAGUAACACGUGGAUAAUCUGCCCUAGAGUGGGGAAUAACGAUGGGAAACCGUCGCUAAUACCGCAUAAUCCCGAGAGGGGAAAGCAGCAAUGCGCUCAAGGAGGAGUCCGCGGCCGAUUAGCUUGUUGGUAGGGUAAUGGCCUACCAAGGCUUCGAUCGGUAGCCGGCCUGAGAGGGCACACGGCCACACUGGCACUGAAACACGGGCCAG